AAAAAGGUAAGCUAAUGUAAGCUAUUGGGCUCAUACCUCAAAGAUAGAAAAAUAUUCUCUUUUUUA
rnacentral:tRNA from 1 species